ensembl:lncRNA
AUAUGAAGUUACAUCAUAAUUUAAUAGAACUUGUUACUUGUAAGCUGUCCAUCACAGUGAAAGCAAGUGUGAUGUUUUAUAAGCCAGCGACAUGAGAUAACAUCAGCAUUCAUAUAAAUAUGUGCAGGUGAAGUAAUGGUAGAUAUUGUCCUGGUUAAAGGUGUGUGCAGACACAGCUUGAAUGCAAGUGUCUCUCUGCUUUUGUCCUCCUGAAACAGCCAACAACACUGACUGUUGCAGUGCUGUUUCACACAUGCUCUGUGACAUUUUUCUGCUGCUACAUUUUACGCUGUGACUGUGAACAGGUUUGUAGAAAAAGUAUUAUUAAGAGAAACCAUUCUCAUCAUAAAACAGUCAGGGGACACUCAUUAAUCAAUCCAAAGAGACUUUAUUUAUGAUAUUUUUGAAAAGUGCAAUGAUAAGAUCAGUGUUGAGAUUGUAGACAUCACAAUAUUGUUAAUAUUAGUCCCCUGAUCACACGCUUGGAUGAUACACAUACAAACAACAUCUCAGGGAGGAAAACAUCAAACAUGUCUGAUCUGAACCCCCCCCCCCCCCUAAAACUACAAUAAAUAAGAAUUCAAAUAUGCUUUACAACCUGGUUACUUAAUAAUUUCAAAACUUCACAUGUACUUUGGUUUAUUACUUCAUUUUCAGGAUGUGAACUUAAAAAUGUUACAAAUAUGAGCUGAGUACAUGUGACAUCAGAACCAGAACUAAUGUAAGGAAGCUGAUGUUGUUCACCAUGGCAGAGGAAGUGGUUCUUGCAGUAGUUCUGGUUGUUGUUGGGGUUGUUGUUGGGGUGGUUGCUGAGGUUGUUGUAGUGGUUGUACUUGUUGUUGGGGCAGUUGAGGUUGUUGUUGGGGUCGUUGCUGAUGUCGUUGUAGUGGUUGUAGUUGUUGGGGUAGUUGUGCUUGUUGUUGGGGUAGUUGCUGAGGUUUUUGUAGUGGUUGUACUUGUGGUUGGGAUACUUGAGGUUGUUGUAGGGGUAGUUGUUGAUGUUGUUGUAGUUGCUGUGGUUGUGGUUGUUGUUGGGGUAGUUGCUGAUGUCGUUGUAGUGGUUGUAGUUGUUGGGGUAGUUGUGCUUGUUCUUUGGGUAGUUGCUGAUGUUUUUGUAGUGGUUGUACUUGUUGUUGGGGUAGUUGAGGUUGUUGUUGGGGUCGUUGCUGAUGUCGUUGUAGUGGUUGUAGUUGUUGGGGUAGUUGUGCUUGUUGUUGGGGUAGUUGCUGAGGUUUUUGUAGUGGUUGUACUUGUUGUUGGGAUACUUGAGGUUGUUGUAGGGGUAGUUAUAGAUGUUGUUGUACUGGCUGUGGUUGUUGUUGGGGUAGUUGAGGUUGCUGUUGGAGCAGCUGUGGUUGUUGUUGGGGCAGCUGUUGUAGUUGUGGUUGAGGUUGUUGUCACCACAGCUGUAGUUGUUGUAGUUGGGGCUGCAAUUGUAGAUGUUGUUGGGGCAGCUGUUGUGGUCCUUGUAGGGGCAGCAGUCGUGGUUGUUGGGGCUGCUGUUGUGGUUGUUGUUGGGGCACCUGUUGUGGUUGUAGUUGGUGCGGCUGUUGUGCUUGUUAAAGCAGCUGUGCUCGUGGCUGCAGUUGUGGUUGUUAAUGGGGAUGCUGUAGUUGUCGUUGUUGGGGCAGUUGUUGUGGUUGUUGUUGGGGCUGCAGUUGUAGUUGUUGGCACAGCUGUUGUGGUUGUAGUUUGGAAAGUUGUCGUGGUUGUUGUUGGUGUAGCUGUAGUAGUUGUUUUUGGGACUGAAGUUGUUGUGGUUGUUGUUUGGGCACCUGUAGUUGUUGAUGUGGGGGUGGUUGUUGUGGUUGUUGUUGGUGCUGCAGAUAUGGUUGUUGUUGGAGCAGGUGUAGUUGUUGUUGUUGGGCUAGCUGUUGUGGUUGUGGUUGUUUGAGAAGCUGUGGUUGUCACUGUAGUUGUAAUUGUUGUUGGUGAAACAGUUGUGGUUGUUGUGGUUGUUGUUGGUGAAGCUGUACUAGUUGUUGUUGGUACAGCAGUUGUUGUGGUUGUUGUUGGGGCAGCAGUAGUUGUUGUUGUUGGGGCAUCUGUUGUGGUUGUUGUUGGGCCUGGUGUUGUAGUUGUUGGUGCAGCAGUUGUGGUUGUUGUUUGGGCAGCUGUAGUUGUUGGCGCAGCAGUUGUGGUUGUUGAGGUUGUUGUUGGUGCAGCUGUAGUAGUUGUUGUUGGGACUGCAGUUGUUGUGGUUGUUGAUGGGGCAGCUGUAGUUGUUGUUGUUGUGGUUGGUGGCGCAGCUGUAGUUGUUGUUGUUGGGGCAGCUGUAGUUGUUGUUGUUGGUGCACCUGUAGUAGUUGUUGUUGUGAAUGUAGUUGUUGUGCUUGUUGUUGGGGCAGCAGUUGUAGUUGUUGGCACAUCAGUUAUGGAUGUUGUUUGGGCUACUGUAGCAGCAGUUGUUGGGGCAGCUGUUGUGGUUGGGGCAGCUGUAGUUGUUUUUGGGGUGGCUGUUGUGGUUGUUGUUGGGCCUGGCGUUGUAGUUGUUGGCGCAGCAGUUGUGGUUGUUGUUGGGGCAGCUGUAGUUGUUGUUGUUGGAGCUGCAGUUGUUGUUGUUGGCGCUGCAGUUGUGGUUGUUGUCGGUGCAGCUGUAAUUGUUGUUGUUGUGACUGCAAUUGUUGUUGUUGGGGCAGCGGUUGUGGUUGUUGUUGGGGCAGCUGUAGUUGUUGUUGUGUGGGCGCUUGUUGUGGUUUUUGUUGGAGCUGCAGUUGUGGUUGUUGGGGCGGCUGUUGUGGUUGUUGUUGGGGCAGCUGUAGUUGUUGUUGUUGGGGCGGCUGUUGUGGUUGUUGUUGGGGCAGCUGUAGUUGUUGUUGUUGGGGCGGCAGUUGUGGUUGUUGUUGGGGCAGCUGUAGUUGUUGUUGUUGGGGCUGCAGUAGUUGUUGUUGGGGCAGCUGUAGUCGUUGUUGGGGCGGCUGUUGUUGUUGUAGGGGCAGUUGUAGCAGUUGUUGGGGCAGCUGUAGUUGUUGUUGUUGUUGGGGCUGUAGUUGUUGUUGUUGGGGCAGCUGUAGCAGUUGUGGUUGUUGUUGGGGCAGCUGUAGUUGUUGUUGUUGGGGCUGCAGUUGUGGUUGUUGGGGCAGCUGUAGUUGUUGUUGUUGGAGCUGCAGUUGUGGUUGUUGGAGCAGCAGUUGUGGUUGUUGUUGGGGCAGCUGUAGUUGUUGUUGUUGUUGGGGCGGCUGUUGUGGUUGUUGUUGGGGCAGCUGUAGUUGUUGUUGUCUGGGCUGUUGUUGUGGUUGUUGUUGUGGCGGCUGUAGUCGUUGUUGUUGGGGCGGCAGUUGUGGUUGUUGUUGGCGCAGCAGCUGUAGUCGUUGUUGGGGCAGCUGUAGUUGUUGUUGUUGGGGCAGCUGUAGUUGUUGUUGUUGGAGCAGCUGUAGUUGUUGUUGUUGGAACUGCAGUUGUGGUUGUUGGAGCAGCAGUUGUGGUUGUUGUUGGGGCAGAUGUAGUUGUUGUUGUUGGGGGAGCAGUUGUGGUUGUUGGGGCAGCUGUAGCAGUUGUUGUUGGGGCUGCAGUAGUUGUUGUUGUUAGGGCAGCAGUUGUGGUUGUUGUUGGGGCAGCUGCAGUUGUUGUUGUUGGGGCGGCUGUUGUGGUUGUUGUUGGGGCAGCUGUAGUUGUUGUUGUUGGGGCAGCAGUAGCUGUA